GCCAUUCUAGUAUAGUGGUUAGUACACAUCGUUGUGGCCGAUGAAACCCAAGUUCGAUUCCUGGGAAUGGCA
rfam:Hanseniaspora osmophila strain AWRI3579 Hanseniaspora_osmophila_AWRI3579_scaffold8, whole genome shotgun sequence.